UCCCCUAGUAACUGCGAGUGAAGCGGGAAAAGCUCAAAUUUGAAAUCUGGCAGUUCUUUACUGUCCGAGUUGUAAUCUAGAGAAGUGUUACCUGUGCUGGACCGUGUACAAGUCUCCUGGAAUGGAGCAUCAUAGAGGGUGAGAAUCCCGUCUUUGACAUGGACUACCUGUACAUUAUGGUGUGCUCUCGAAGAGUCGAGUUGUUUGGGAAUGCAGCUCAAAAUGGGUGGUAAAUGCCAUCUAAAGCUAAAUAUUGGUGAGAGACCGAUAGCGAACAAGUACCGUGAGGGAAAGAUGAAAAGAACUUUGGAAAGAGAGUUAAACAGUACGUGAAAUUGCUGAAAGGGAAACGCUUGAAGUCAGACACGUUGGCUAGAAAUCAACCUUUGCUUCUGCUUGGUGUACUUUCUGGUUGACGGGUCAGCAUCAAUUUCAGCCACUGGAUAAAGUCUUUGGGAAUGUGGCAUCUUAGGAUGUGUUAUAGCCCACUGUCACAUAUGGUGGUUGGGAUUGAGGAGCUCAGCACGCCGCAAGGGCCGGGUUUCGACCACGUUCGUGCUUAGGAUGCUGGCAUAAUGGCUUUAAUCGACCCGUCUUGAAACAC
rnacentral:rRNA from 1 species